rnacentral:rRNA from 1 species
CCUACGGUGUGCUGCCGUAGGGAAUCUUCCACAAUGGACGGAAGUCUGAUGGAGCAACGCCGCGUGAGUGAAGAAGGGUUUCGGCUCGUAAAGCUCUGUUGGUAGUGAAGAAAGAUAGAGGUAGUAACUGGUCUUUAUUUGACGGUAAUUACUUAGAAAGUGACGGCUAACUAUGUGCCAGCAGCCGCGGUAAUACGUAGGUGGCAAGCGUUGUCCGGAUUUAUUGGGCGUAAAGCGAGUGCAGGCGGGUCAAUAAGUCUGAUGUGAACUCCUUCGGCUCAACCGGAGAAUUGCAUCAGAAACUGUUGAACUUGAGUGCAGAAGAGGAGAGUGGAACUCCAUGUGUAGAGGUGGAAUGCGUAGAUAUAUGGAAGAACACCAGUGGCGAAGGCGGCUCUCUGGUCUGCAACUGACGCUGAGGCUCGAAAGCAUGGGUAGCGAACAGGAGUAGAUACCCCAGUAGUC